UCUGUUGUGUUAGAGCAGUGGUUCUUAACCGGGGGUGCUCACACCCCCUAGGGGUGCGAGAAUGCUUCCUAGGGGAUGCGAGGAUACCUUGGGGGAAAUU